rnacentral:rRNA from 1 species
AGCGCAGGUGGGAAAGUAAGUCUGCUUUAAAAGUGCGGGGCUCAACCCCGUGAGGGAGUGGAAACUACUUUUCUUGAGUGCAGGAGAGGAAAGCGGAAUUCCUAGUGUAGCGGCGAAAUGCGUAGAUAUUAGGAGGAACACCAGUGGCGAAGGCGGCUCUCUGGACUGUAACUGACACUGAGGCUCGAAAGCCAGGGGAGCGAACG